GACGAACGCUGGCGGCGUGCUUAACACAUGCAAGUCGAACGAAGAGCGACGGAAGCUUGCUUCUAUCAAUCUUAGUGGCGAACGGGUGAGUAACGCGUAAUCAACCUGCCCUUCAGAGGGGGACAACAGUUGGAAACGACUGCUAAUACCGCAUACGAUCUAAUCUCGGCAUCGAGGAUAGAUGAAAGGUGGCCUCUACAUGUAAGCUAUCACUGAAGGAGGGGAUUGCGUCUGAUUAGCUAGUUGGAGGGGUAACGGCCCACCAAGGCGAUGAUCAGUAGCCGGUCUGAGAGGAUGAACGGCCACAUUGGGACUGAGACACGGCCCAGACUCCUACGGGAGGCAGCAGUGGGGAAUCUUCCGCAAUGGACGAAAGUCUGACGGAGCAACGCCGCGUGAGUGAUGACGGCCUUCGGGUUGUAAAGCUCUGUUAAUCGGGACGAAAGGCCUUCUUGCGAA
rnacentral:rRNA from 1 species